CGUGCUGCCUGUACUGGUCCUCGGGCUGUUUCUGGAGCCCUCUGUGCUAGAAGAAAGAGAUAGGGCAUCCCUAGGGGGGACUGUGGAGUGUGUGGGCUGAGGAAGUUGUUGAAGUUGGGGAAGUAAGUUCCUCUGGUUGGGCCUGGGGUCCUGGGGCUCCAGUUGCUCAUUGGUCCCCAGGCCCAGUGGCACCACCAGGUCAUUCUUCUGCUGGGUGGGCAAGGAGCCAGGGGGCCUAGGGACCACAAUGGGUCCCACCGUUGGUCCCUCUGUGUACUCAUUACUGCUCCCGGUGAUCCUGAUCUGGUCCAGCGAGAGCACAGGGGCCUGCUGGCUGGGGUUUACCCCAGGAUCGGGCUGCCCUUCCUGUGCAUGGUGAGGCCGGUGUAGCCUCCCGCUGUCACGCAGAGCAUGCAGCAAGCCGGCCGACCCUCCGCCACCACUGCCAUUUUGAGUACUGGUCUCCAUCUUGGCUCUGAAGAAGGACCCCUCCGGCUGGCAUUGAACACAUCUGAAGUCCUGGAGAGAAAGACAGGCAAAUAUAUAUAUGAGACGACCAGGUGACACUUGAGUAGAAACGACCCUAUGUAAAUUAUAACUGAUGAUAAGGGUUUGGCAACAUGGGUUGGCUAGCUACCAACUGGAGUUGUUUUGCUUGACAAAUAUAUCAACACCUCACAUUAAGAAUUACUUUCCAAUGUAAAAGUGUAGGCCAAUGCUCAAUUCUAAUCAUAUCCCCUAACCUUAGGCACUUUCUGUUUGGUGUUAAAAGGAUGUGAUAAGUAACAACAGCAUAAUAUAUACCUAACUGUACCUCUAAGGCAGCAUUUCACAUGAUAGGAGAACAAAAACAAAGAUUUGACAUGAUGAAACAGUGGAUUGAUCAUGUUUCUGUACGUUUGGAAAUUGACAGUAACAUUGACAGCUGAACCCUUCUGAUUGGAGGACUUAGGUAUAUACCAACUAUUUCCUAUUACAUGAGAUACAUACAGGGGAAAUAAAGAGCAUGCAAGGAAGAGAACAUGAGGCAAUGCUGAGACAGGGCUAGUCUACAACUUCAACAAAAGUUGAGGCACUCAAACACGCAUACUGUGUAUCAAAACUUGCAUCCUUAUAUGUCCCAUAACUAGAAGGUGGAGACUUUAGACUUGUUGCCACCAUUUCCAAAUGAGUGAAAAACAACUGAUUGCUAGUUUCGAGGGACUCAUAAUUGAACAUUUCUUAAGAUUUGUCAUUUCACUCUGGAGACAAUUAUUAGCCUAAUACAUCAUGGUGUGCAUGACGCUCUUGUUUGAGUGUGCGUGUGUAGGGCAGCGGAUGAGCCCAAAGACCAUGACAUUUGAGAUGGGCUUUACACAGACAAAUGGACAGGCGAGACGGAAAAGUAAAAACCCAAAUGUCCUAUUAUGAAAUAGCCUAACAUAAACGCCAAUAGCCCCACCAAACAUUCAAAUAUUGACUUUUAUCAUUCCACCUUUCUUCUAUAAUGUAAAAUAGCCCUCUAUUUUUGUUCUGAAUAUGAAACAACAAAAACGCUUUUCAACUGCGCUAAAUAUGUGUUUAUGUGCAGGCUACCGUUCACAGAUUUUGUAUUUACUCAAUUUAUCUAGUCAAAAUGCAUGAUCUACAGACAGGCUAUCAAUUGUUUUAAUAAGAGGGUAAUGUCUAGACCGUUAUUCAGAAGGGGAAAAACUAAAACACUACUUUUUAGAGCAAGAAGCUGUAGGCCUAUUCAGAUGAGAAAAUGCUGGGAUUGCACGGGGAAGGUUGGAGAAAGGAUGGGGAAAGUCAAUGCGGGUCAGCAGUUGGAACUCCCGAGUCCGAGAGCAUGCAUAAAACUGAAUUGGGACUAAAGUGGGCACCUGAUUGCAUUUCACUCCAUUGCAUUGGCAUGGCAGGAGAAAACAGUCCUGCCUGACACAUUUGGAGGUAAAGGACAUCCCACCCUGACACCCAGCAGAUGUAAAGAACUUGUUUUGAACCUGCCAACCACCAGGAUAAUCACCAUACCAUGACUUGGUUUUUGUAUUUUAAUGUGUAUAUAUAGACAAAAAGUAUAUGGACACCCUUUCAAGUGAGUGGAAUCGGCUAUUUCAGCCACACCCGUUGCUUACAGGUGUAUAAAAUCGAGCACACAGCCAUGCAAUCUCCAUAGAGAAACAUUGGCAGUAGAAUAGCCUUACUGAAGAGGUCUUUGACUUUCAACGAGGCACCGUCAUAGGAGGCCACCUUCCAACAAGUCAGUUUGUCAAAUUUCUGUUAUUGUGAAGUGGAAACGUCUAGGAGCAACAAUGGCUCAGCCUUGAAGUGGUAGGCCACACAUGCUCACAGAAUGGGACCGCUGAGUAGCCCAUACAAAUCGUCUGUCCUCGGUUGCAACACUCACCACCGAGUUCCAAACUGCCUCUGGAAGCAACGUCAGCACAAGAACUGUUUGUCGGGUGCUUCGUGAAAUGGGUUUCCAUGGCCGAGCAGCCGCACACAAGCCUAAGAUCACCAUGCGCAAUGCCAAGCGUCGGCUGGGGUAGUGUAAAGCUUGCCACCAUUGGACUCUGAAGCAGUGGAAAUGCUUUCUCUGGAGUGAUGAAUCACGCUUCACCAUCUGGCAGUCCGACGGACAAAUCUGGGUUUGGAGGAUGCCAGGAGAGCGCUAUCUGCCCCAAUUCAUAGUGCCAUCUGUAAAGUUUGGUGGAGGAGGAAUAAUGGUCUGGGGAUGUUUUUCAUGGUUCGGGCUAGGCCCCUUAACGCUACAGCAUACUGUACAAUGACAUUCUAGAUGAUUCUGUGCUUCCAACUUUGUGGCAACAGUUUGGGGAAAGCCCUUUUCAUGUUUCAGCAUGACAAGGCCCCCGUACACAAAGUGAGGUCCAUGGCGUGUCGAGAUCAGUGUGGAAGAACUUGACUGGCCUGCACAGAGCCCUCACCGCAACCCCAUCGAACACCUUUGGGAUGAAUUGGAAUGCCAACUGGGAGCCAGGCCUAAUCGCCCAACAUCAGUGCCCGACCUCACUAAAGCUCGUGGCUGAAUGAAAGCAAAUCCCUGCAGCAAUGUUCCAACAGGUAGCGCAAAGCCUUCCCAGAAGAGUGGAGGCUGUUACAUCAGCAAAGAGGGGACCAACUCCAUACUAAUGCCCAUGAUUUUGCAAUGAGAUGUUCGACGAGCAGUUGGCCUUAUACUUUUGUUCAUGUAGUGUACAUGUUAAAAAAAGGUUAUUCAGGAGUGUGCAACAUGAAUGUUAGAUAGAAAUAAACACACACCAUUUUAUUGUCAUGGAAAUUUGUCAGGACAUUGUAACGUAUACAGCUCAUUCUAUAAUACAGACGUGAUUUCUGACCCUGGAUAUUGCACUGUGUGUCCGUCUUCAAUUUAGACCACAAUUAGUUAAAUUAGGUGUUAGUGAAGAGCUGGAACAAAAACCUGUAAACCCCUGUCCUGUCUAUUAAAAAAUAUCUGUGGAUAUCAUGACAAAAUUUGCCCUCGUGGUGAUCAAGCUUAUGAAUGUUGGGGUUAAUCUCCUUGGUGUACCUCACUUGGGAAUGACUUAUUUUGUACAAUGGACUGUGUUUUAAGGACUCAUGGACAGAUACAGGAAAACCAAUACAUGUUUUACAUUUCUAAAAAAUGACAAGUGUUGAUGUAGUAAUGUUUCUGGUUUUGAGGCUUGGCCAUCUGGUGACUACUGUUCACAUGUCUAAUCCCCUGCAAGGAUAGAUAAAGGCAUCAAUAAUAUUACAAUGCU